rnacentral:tRNA from 2 species
GCAGAAGUAUCCACGUGGCAAGGUAAGCGGUCUGUAAAACCGUUCUUCUUAAGUGAAGUUUGAAGGUUCAACUCCUUUCUUCUGCA